ensembl:lncRNA
GGGAAUUCCUUCUGGGGAGUUCUAUGGAGGAGGCUCUGCCAGAGCAGGGCCCAAACUCACAGCUGUAGGCUCAGGAGAGCAGAAAGUGGCUGCAAGGCCACUGCCCAAGGCUGGACAGUGGGUGUUCCCCAUCUCCAGGCAAGAAGGGAGCUGGGAAGGACCCCCAUCCCCCAGAAAUGCAGCACUCAGUGGGAACCACGAGAGCUGCGUCCCAAACUGUGCAGCCCCGGGCAGUUGCUAGUGGAAGGUGCCUGUGAGCAAGGAAGGUUCCCGUGGGGCCAGGAAGGUGCAGUGCUGUGCUCAGAGCUGGGCCUUCCUCCUCCUGUUUGCAGCAUGGAACCGCUGGGCAUGGCCACCAGCCUCCAGAGGACUGUUGUACAGCACGAGACCAGCACACAACAUGACGACAUGGCACAACAUUUGACCACUGCACUACGUGGGACCAUUGCACAGCAUGAGGUCACUCCACAACCUGAGACCACUGCACCACGUGGGACCAUUGCACAGGGUGAGACUAUUGUACCACCUGGGAUCACUGCACUACAUGCGACCGUUGCACAUCCUGAGACCACUGCCCUAAGUGAGAGCACUGCACAGCCUGAGACCACUGCACCACGUGACACCGUUGCACGAAGUGGGACCAUUGUGCAACCUGGGACUGCUGCACAACACGACACCAUUGCACAGCAUGGGACCACUGCACAGCCUGAGAACAUUGCA